rnacentral:miRNA from 1 species
UUUGUGUGUGUGUGUGUGUGUGUGUGUGUGUGUGUGUGUGUUAUUGGGUUAUUGUUCUUAUUUUGAUUUUAUAUAUUGUGAUCUCUUCUGUGAACUGCCCUGAGACCUCUGGGUAUAGGGCGGUACAUAAAGUCUACACACACACACACACACACACACACACAGAGG